rnacentral:rRNA from 1 species
GAUGAACGCUGGCGGCGUGCCUAAUACAUGCAAGUCGAGCGAACGGACGAGAAGCUUGCUUCUCUGAUGUUAGCGGCGGACGGGUGAGUAACACGUGGAUAACCUACCUAUAAGACUGGGAUAACUUCGGGAAACCGGAGCUAAUGCCGGAUAAUAUUUUGAACCGCAUGGUUCAAAAGUGAAAGACGGUCUUGCUGUCACUUAUAGAUGGAUCCGCGCUGCAUUAGCUAGUUGGUAAGGUAACGGCUUACCAAGGCAACGAUGCAUAGCCGACCUGAGAGGGUGAUCGGCCACACUGGAACUGAGACACGGUCCAGACUCCUACGGGAGGCAGCAGUAGGGAAUCUUCCGCAAUGGGCGAAAGCCUGACGGAGCAACGCCGCGUGAGUGAUGAAGGUCUUCGGAUCGUAAAACUCUGUUAUUAGGGAAGAACAUAUGUGUAAGUAACUGUGCACAUCUUGACGGUACCUAAUCAGAAAGCCACGGCUAACUACGUGCCAGCAGCCGCGGUAAUACGUAGGUGGCAAGCGUUAUCCGGAAUUAUUGGGCGUAAAGCGCGCGUAGGCGGUUUUUUAAGUCUGAUGUGAAAGCCCACGGCUCAACCGUGGAGGGUCAUUGGAAACUGGAAAACUUGAGUGCAGAAGAGGAAAGUGGAAUUCCAUGUGUAGCGGUGAAAUGCGCAGAGAUAUGGAGGAACACCAGUGGCGAAGGCGACUUUCUGGUCUGUAACUGACGCUGAUGUGCGAAAGCGUGGGGAUCAAACAGGAUUAGAUACCCUGGUAGUCCACGCCGUAAACGAUGAGUGCUAAGUGUUAGGGGGUUUCCGCCCCUUAGUGCUGCAGCUAACGCAUUAAGCACUCCGCCUGGGGAGUACGACCGCAAGGUUGAAACUCAAAGGAAUUGACGGGGACCCGCACAAGCGGUGGAGCAUGUGGUUUAAUUCGAAGCAACGCGAAGAACCUUACCAAAUCUUGACAUCCUUUGACAACUCUAGAGAUAGAGCCUUCCCCUUCGGGGGACAAAGUGACAGGUGGUGCAUGGUUGUCGUCAGCUCGUGUCGUGAGAUGUUGGGUUAAGUCCCGCAACGAGCGCAACCCUUAAGCUUAGUUGCCAUCAUUAAGUUGGGCACUCUAAGUUGACUGCCGGUGACAAACCGGAGGAAGGUGGGGAUGACGUCAAAUCAUCAUGCCCCUUAUGAUUUGGGCUACACACGUGCUACAAUGGACAAUACAAAGGGCAGCGAAACCGCGAGGUCAAGCAAAUCCCAUAAAGUUGUUCUCAGUUCGGAUUGUAGUCUGCAACUCGACUACAUGAAGCUGGAAUCGCUAGUAAUCGUAGAUCAGCAUGCUACGGUGAAUACGUUCCCGGGUCU